AAGAUUAUUUGUAGAUCAGUGAUUCUGCUCCUCACUUUGCUCAAGCUGAUCCUCUCCAACUGACUCAAUCUCUGGUCAUCGGAAGUUGUAAAAGUGGGGCAAUUACGGGAAGUUAAAGGGGAGAGUCAAUGAAACAAACCAUGGAAGUAUAGAGUACCACAUUAUGAGUCAUAAUACCCAUAAAACCUAGCGAUCAAACAAGGAAAUUGUUCCAAUCGCUUUUCUAACUUUUCCCCAUAUGGGAUUUUAGAAACACUUGUAAGGGUUGUGUUUUGUGUAGGCUUACCCUGGCAUGAAGUUUUUGUUAACUGUGUAAAUCUCUCUCGGACAAUGUAAUAUUAAUAUAUUCAUCUGUAUUUACCCCCCCAAAAAUAAAAUGCUAAUUUGCUGCUAAUGUGGCUAUCAUAAAGAACUACAAAUGCCAUGAUGAUCUGGACGAGACUGCCGAAUAGAGGCAAAGGCUGUGCCCAUGGAGUGUGACCCCGCGGAGGCCUGUACAUUAAUCAUGAUGUGGAGAGAGGGCCCCAGACAAGCCUGGGACAUUCCUGGGACAGCUUGCCGCUGGGCAGGUGAAGCAGCCAGUCACGCCGACACUGCUGGGAGGGCAAGGACAAUCGUCCAGUCAAAAAGAGAACACAGUCGGCCUGUGUGGGCUCUAGUAGUGAAGAUCCUACUCUGUUCACCCUUGCCUGGCUGCCCGCUGCAUGGACCCACCGCACUCAGAAGAAUGUGUCCAGUCAUCUCGCCACUGAAAAGGCCACAUGUGCAACUAUCAAGAUUCCUUAAUACAGUCGGAAGAAAUGUCACUAUUAUGCAAACAUAUUGCUGCUUUAUGGACUACUGGCUGAACUGUACAGUACACUGUCUCGCUUAUGUUGAUGGAAUAAUGUGUUGAUUUUUAGAAAAUGUAUUUCUGAAUUGUGUUAUGGUUCUUAAAGAUCCACUUCGGCCAUUUUUAUCUCAAUAUCAAAUCAUUCCUGAAUAACAAUCAAGUACCUUACUGUGAUUUGUUUUCAUUUAAAAUGGUCAAAAAGAAACAAAAAUGUGUUCUUUGCAAAGAGAUAUUUCUCAAGCAAGAAUUUUGUUAGGACUGUCUGGGAGUGGUCUGGGUGGAGAGGGAAAACUGAAAACUAGCUGUUAUUGGCAGUGAGGUUUGGAACUCUCUUUCUUACUUGUCUAUUAACUAAUUUACCGCCUGGUGAUGUCAGCAGGCAGGCCAAAACGCCAUCCCACCAAAACACGAUUCAAUUUCAGGCAGUCUUUUCAAACAGCUUACACUAAAAGGGGUAUUAUCAUAAUUGUCACAAUUUCACAGUAUUAUUCCAAUCUCAGUGUGGAAAUAUAAAUCAAAUCAAAUCAAAUGUAUUUGUCACAUACACAUGGUUAGCAGAUGUUAAUGCGAGUGUAGCGAAAUGCUUGUGCUUCUAGUUCCGACAAUGCAGUAAUAACCAACGAGUAAUCUAACCUAACAAUUCCAAAACUACUACCUUAUACACACAAGUGUAAAGGGAUAAAGAAUAUGUACAUAAAGAUAUAUGAAUGAGUGAUGGUACAGAACGGCAUAGGCAAGAUGCAGUAGAUGGUAUCGAGCACAGUAUUUGAGAUGAGUAAUGUAGGGUAUGUAAACAAAGUGGCAUAGUUAAAGUGGCUAGUGAUACAUGUAUUACAUAAAGAUGCAGUAGUUGAUAUAGAGUACAGUAUAAACAUAUACAAAUGAGAUGAGUAAGGGUAUGUAAACAUUAUAUUAAGUAGCAUUGUUUAAAGUGGCUAGUGAUAUAUUUUACAUCAAUUUCCAUCAAUUCCCAUUAUUAAAGUGGCUGGAGUUGAGUCAGUGUGUUGGCAGCAGCCACUCAAUGUUAGUGGUGGCUGUUUAACAGUCUAAAACACAGGACAAUCAUGUUUUUGACUACUCUGGGCAUUUAACAAUUAAUUCUGUGUUAUUUUGACACAAUUCACUCUUAAUGUAUCUGUAGCCUAGGCAGGGUAGCCUAGUGGUUAGAGCGUUGGACCGAAAGGUUGCAAGUUCAAAUCCCAGAGCUGACAAGGUACAAAUAUGUUGUUCUGCCCCUGAACAGGCAGUUAACCCACUGUUCCUAGGCUGUCAUUGAAAAUAAGAAUUUGUUCUUAACUGACUUGCCUAGUAAAAUAAAGGUAAUAAUAUAUAUAUAUAUCACAUUUAAAAACAGUUGUAAUUUGAAACUGGUUGUAUAAAACUAUAACUAACCCAGUGACUUUCUAACAUACUCUGAGCUUUUGCAUAUCCAUCUCCUUUGUUGUCCUCUGUGAAAGUUGUGUGUACUUACUACUUAUUGGUAGGCUAGUAUUUCUACUAAUUUUAUAGUAUAUUCUGGUUAGUGUAUGUGUGUGGAGGAGGGCCCAGAAAUGGCAGGCAAAGCUACUGGACUGAUAAUGAUUUAAGUGUUACACUCUCUUGUUGAUUCUUACCUAAAUGAAAAGUGCUGUGAAUGGAUCCCCUAAAAUCUAGAAUUGGCCUGUUGUAGUUUUGGCUGGGGGCUGUCUGUAGGAGGGUAGGGAGCACAGAGGGAACACAGAAGGUGCACAGAGGGCCUGGUGCUGCUGGGAGAGAGAGGGGAGCAGUUUGUGGUUCUGAGGCCAGUGGGUCCAGGGACCCUACUGGGGAACCAUACACCUGGCUGUCUGUUCUCAACUCAUUUGUAUAAUGCUGGAUCAUGGAUGAAAUUGAGUGUUCGGGAGUGGGAUUGAAGUUUUAAUUCUGGCUCUGUGCUUUGGGGCAGCUGUUCUGCCUUUCCCCUUCCAAUCAAUUAGGGCAGAGACCGCAGAGCCAUGUUGGAGCAAAGGCCUGCUUUAGCUGUGGCUGGCUGUCGUCUAGCUACCUGGGAGAAGUACUGCUGCCACCAUGCUGAAUAGGAAUAAAACAAAGGAAUUUACUGUCCAGUUGUGCUUGCUACUGUUUGUCCUCUAAUCAAUAAAUAUGUUGUGAUUAUACGCUCGAGUGGACAGAGGAGGAAUGUCAGUGAAACGAGGCAAAGCAGCCAAGUCUUGAGAAAUCAUAGAAUGUGAUUGCACUGUGCAACAAUAAUAUUGGAAUAGGCGUUUUUCAAUUAGCAGUAUCUGUAGCCUGCAGCUAAAGGAUCAGAUGUUUUUACAACAUGCCACUGUUCCACCAGGCAUCUGUCAGGUGGAAAUGGAAAUGCCUACAACAGCCGAGCGAUUGGCUUCACAUGCAAGAAGACUGACACGCUGCAGAGAGGAAAAGAAGCAUGCAGACUAGACCGCACAAAGCAAUCCUGAUGGGUGGUCUGAGUGUAUGCCCAAGCAGGCCCCACGGGAACCAAACCCACUCUUCUGACUCACUCUGUACUCUGUACUCUCAUUCCAACUCUGCACCUCAGCCAGGUAUGGAUGUGGGAAUGGGGAGUGGAGUCACCUCCGGCUCACACACUUUGCACAGAUGAAAUAGGAGUAUUUAGGUGCAUGUUGUUCAUGCUUAAUGCCUCCAAUAUGCACCAGUCCAACAGAUUCAGGCCAACGGAUGAGUCACAAAGCCUUUGAUGCCGCCAGUGUCACAACCACCGCAUGGUAAUACCCCUCUUUGUUUUGUAAGUGCUGCCCUGGUCAGAACUGGCUGUGUGUGUGCCCGGUUUGUGACUAUGUUUGACCUCUCUUUGGGCCGUGGCUAAUGCAGAGUUUGGGCUCCUGAAUGGGGCCGGGGUCAGUGCCCAGUGACACAUGACCUGCCACGGUUAAUUCCAGCAGAACAAUAGACCCGACCCCAGUCCACAUCUCAUCCCAUUACACCUCCAUGCCAAAUGAAUUGUUUGUUUUUGUGGGCUGCUCUCUCCUGACCUUUCAGCCCACUUGUUUUAAUAACGUUCAGUUUAAACCUGGAAACACAGGAUUCACUCUGCGCUGAACACAGAUGGGCCUUCGAUUGGUUCUCUCAAGGGUCUUCCUUAGUGUCAUGAUGCUGACCAUCUCCUGGGCUGGACUUGACACCCCCAGAGAAAACGCUUCCUGCUUGGGUUCUUCUCAGAGGAUAUUCAAGUGUGAGUGAGGAGGUAUAUCCACUUACUGUGUGGUUCCUGUUUGCUGAUGUACACAGUAAAUACUUGAGAGAGAUAUCUGUGAAUGAUAUGGCUAAUCAAUAAGCCUAAAUGGCCACACAUACCCACUCUAGUUGUCAGUGAUGAAUGACUGGUAGCCAGUGGAACACGUGUGUUUUAAAUAAAGGGGAUGAAUAUCCAUGGCUGAAAGCUGUCCUGGGAGCUUCGAGAAAAAGUAGAGCGAGAGAGGGCAGCUAUUGUGACAGAGGGUUGCAGUGAUACAACAUGAACAAUAUACGAUAACACACCAUACUGGAGGAUAGUUACCCCACAGUGUUCUGUAUUUAGAUCAAUGAUGACCAGAAAUUGUGUUAUCAUUUACACGGUAGAGGCUAGCCUUA